rnacentral:tRNA from 1 species
GUGGUGGCUCAGUGAUUAAGAGCCCUGGCUACUAUUCCAAAGGACCUGGGUUCAAUUCCCAGCACCCACA